rnacentral:rRNA from 1 species
CGUCUUCUCGCAGGUCCGAUGUCUCGCCCUUGCGGACGGCUCUAUGCCCCGCCCGGACUUGUCCGGGUCGGUGGGUGGAGUCGCUCUGGGUGGGCACGGAGGGCCGCGGCGGACCGCACUUCUCCCCUAGUAGGACGUCGUGACCCGUCCGGUCAUGGUCUAAGGGCGUGGGGUGGAGCCUGUUCGAGCCGUUUCGGCGGUAUCUCGGGCAGACCCCCGAUGUCCCCGGCCAUGGAUGACCCGGUCGGUAUCGAAAGACGGUGUCGAACCGCUCUGCAGAGGGGGAAACCCUUCUUGAGAGCGCGAUUGGCCCCUGGCAAGGCGUUGGGUUCGCUAGUCAAGUCGGUCUUCGGUCCGUCUGACUGCUCUCGCGCUUGUUGGUCUGGGUGCGCCCUGUCGCAGGUUCACUCCCCAAUGGCACCAGUCUACGGCGAAUCAGUUUUGGGCUCUUGUCCGACCCGUCUUGAAACACGGACCAAGGAGUUUAGCGUGUGCGCGAGUCAUUGGGUGCCAAAACCCAAAGGCGAAAUGAAAGUGAAGGAAACUCCGCUUUCUGAGGGAGGAUGGGCCCGACUCCUUUGUUGGGGUCACCCCGCACUCCCGGGGCGUCUCUAUCUCAUUGCGAGAGGAGGCGCACCUAGAGCGUACACGCUGAUACCCGAAAGAUGGUGAACUAUGCCUGGCCAGGACGAAGCCAGGGGAAACCCUGGUGGAGGUCCGCAGCGAUUCUGACGUGCAAAUCGAUCGUCGGAGCUGGGUUUAGGGGCGAAAGACCAAUCGAACCAUCUAGUAGCUGGUUCCCUCCGAAGUUUCCCUCAGGAUAGCUUGCGCUCGGACGGGACGAGUCUCAUCCGGUAGAGCGAAUGAUUAGAGGCCUUGGGGUCGAAACGACCUCAACCUAUUCUCAAACUCCAAAUAGAUGAGAACCCCGGCUUUCUUGGAACACUCCAGUAUGAAGCCGGGGGCUCGGAUCAGAGUGCCAAGUGGGCCAAUUUUGGUAAGCAGAACUGGCGCUGUGGGAUGAACCAAACGCAGAGUUAAGGCGCCUCAAUCGACGCUCAUGUGAAACCAUGAAAGGCGUUGGUUGCUUAAGACAGCAGGACGCUGGCCAUGGAAGUCGGAAUGCGCUAAGGAGUGUGUAACAACUCACCUGCCGAAGCAACUAGCCCUGAAAAUGGAUGGCGCUGUAGCGUCGUGCCUAUACUCUGCCGUCAACGGCAACGCAGGCAGUCGCCUUCACGGGUGACGGCGCUGUUACGCCUUGACGAGUAGGAGGGCCGCGGCGAUGUGCGCAGAAGGGUCUGGGCGUGAGCCCGCCUGGAGCCGUCGUCGGUGCAGAUCUUGGUGGUAGUAGCAAAUACUCCAGCGAGGCCCUGGAGGACUGAUGUGGAGAAGGGUUUCUUGUGAACAGCUGUUGCACAAGAGUCAGUCGAUCCUAAGCCCUAGGAGAAAUCCGAAGCGAUGGGUUGCCGUUAAUGAAAUUGAUGGCACCAUUUGGGCGAAAGGGAAUCCGGUUCCUAUUCCGGAACCCGGCAGUGGAACCGUUCCAAAUCGGGCCCUCAUUGAGGACUCGUCAGGGCAACCUGAAAGGACCCGGAGACGCCGUCGGGAGAUUCGGGGAGAGUUGUCUCUUCUCUAUAAGCGUUCGAGUUCCCUGGAAACCUCUAGCAGGGAGAUAGGGUUUGGAACGCGAAGAGCACCGCAGUUACGGCGGUGUCCGAAUCUUCCCCACGGACCUUGAAAAUCCGGGAGAGGGCCACGAGGAACCCCACGCCGGCUCGUACCCAUAUCCGCAGCAG